rnacentral:siRNA from 1 species
UCAAACAGAGUUAUCGAGUGUCAC